CCUCACCUUCCCUCCUCCUCCUCCUCCUCCUCCCCCCAUUCCAUCCGUAAAUACAAUAUUUUUCACCGAAAGGCACCGCCGAAAUAAGUCUGGCCAUGGCCGCAAGCAAAUCCCGGGUGCAUGCGCCUUCACGCGGCUUCAGUGGGUGGUGGGACCCAGCCAUCUCCUUCUGGCCUCUGGGAGGUGCAUGCGCCCGGGUGUAUGUCAUGAUUCAUGUUCCUGAAUGGAGUGGGAAUGGGAAUGUCGGUAUGUAGAUGGGGCAGGGGAGCCUGGGGGUUGACUCCUGGCUGGGCCCAUCGGGAUGUCUGCGUGAAUUCUACGGAGUCGCCGGGGCCUUUGAAGGAGUCCAAUUCCAUGAUCAGAUGAGACGAGUUGCCUUUCUUGGAAGGUUUCGAUUCAAUGGUCCAAUCGUGGCGACAGCAUGUCAACAUCUAGACUCAGGCUUACGCGUGAAUUAUUAUUGAGACACAAAUAUCGGAUCCUUUCGAUGCACAACUGGAUUAGGUGGGCGAAAUAAGCGAGGCCAAGAGAGACACUUCUCGAUCACAGUCCCCAGCCACUAGCUUUCAGCCCGUUACAGUCCAAGGCUACGUUCAGCUGGUCGUGUUCUUGUUUCAUCAUUUGGUUCAUUCAUUGAUCUGAGCAUGGUCGGUGACUAGUGAAAGAGCAAAAAAGAAUGUUAUAAUUGCUUGCUUGAUCACUGCACUUCAAACACAACAGUCAGUGACUAGACGCUGCAAUAUCCUUGCAACGCCUGUAAACCGGCUCGUACCAUUCCAAUGGGCCCGACAGCUUCAAUCUCUGAUCGCGCAUCAUAUGACCAGAAGAGCUCCUACAUCAGAAGCCAAGCCGCCUACAUACAGAUGCCUGAUAAUAAAUCAACAAUAUGGUAAUAGUUGCAACAGCAGUACUAUUUGACGCGUCUUCUGUUAAUGCUCUUGGACAGUCUAGUGUUGCUGCAGCUGUGCUUGAUGUUUAAGCAGAUGCUGCCCGGGUUUAUGAUAAAGGAUCUCCGAUGUUGCAUUUGAUUAUAAAGAUUUGAAAACCACGAAAACGGCCAUGAAUUGUAUGGUGGGUGGCAAUCAGUUUACAUCAGCAAUCAGCAUAUUUCAGCACCUUGCUUUACAUCACAAAUAAAUUAAGCAGUUGGUCCUGGUCCCUCCUUAAAUCAUAGUCCUCAGUGCAAGAAUUCCCUCCAACCUUUUCCCCACAUCUGACAUCGUCGGUCUCUCUUCAGGCAAUUUUUUGCUCGCACCAGAUCCCUAUAUGGAAUGCUUCCUGCAGUUCUUUGAGUAUACUCGCUUGAUCCCUGAGAGGGGCAUCGAAGACUUCUCCGGCCUUGACCUCCCUACUCACACCUGCCCCCAUGAAGCAAAGUCUCUCACCUGACCAUCGCUUGGAGUGGGCUCGAACUCCCGAACAAGAAGCUCCAGCAAAAUUACCCCAAAGCUGUAAACAUCUGACUGCUGGGACCGCCUACUCAAUAUAACUUCAACGGCCUCUUACUUAGUGCAACCAACAUAGUUUAUCUGAGACGGGUAGAUGUCCGACACAAUUCCGUAUCCUUGAGGGCUUAGGAAGAUGUUCGAGGGCUUUAAGUUCCCGGGAAAGAAUUUCCCACCUUCUUGCUGGUGGAUGCAAUCAAUGCCUCUCGCUACCCUAAUGGCAAGCUAAGCCGAAUCUCCCAUGUCAUGGGAGCCACUACCAUACCUUCUUUACCUAUAGGCAACGGAGGAAAAGGAAUGAGAUGGUUCAAUGGGUUGAAAGGUAACUAUAUGCAAAUGCAAUGAAAGGUAAAUAAGGGCAGCCCCGAUGAGGUGAUACCGUGUAAAAGAGAUGACAUGCUUCCUCGAUCAUGAUAAUCAGAAAGAAGAAGCGGCUUGCAGUCCUUCUCACAGUAGUACGCCCGCAUGGUAGCUACAUUCGCGUGCCUAAUACUGCACAUCUUUUCUGUUCACCUUACAUGAUGUCCCAAAAGAGCCUUCACCGAGCACCUCCACUGAUGCCCUUAAGGUUUCCUCGAGUUUGAAUUUUAAUCACAGUCGUGAGGGAACAUGAGCUUCCUAUGUUCUUGCUUUAUAGACUGUUUAGGGGGCUCGGGCUCAUUCUGAUUGCCUCCACUGUUUGGGAGGCAAAUGGUCAUAAGUACCGGAAAUUAUUACCAAGGAAACCCGAGUUUACGAUCACAGCUUUCUUAUACAAUUAGGAACUUAAGUACAUAGAAAAUUCCGAGAAUAUCCAGCUAGAAAUCUAUCAUGUAGGUAGACAAAAGCAGACCAUUGAAGGCUAUCAGACAAGGCUCGGAUGGUUAGUGCAAUCCUCAGGAAUGCUAUAUCAACGACCAAAAAGAAAAAUUUACAUCCGAGAAAAGGCCCCCCUACAAUUGCAGGAAGGAAGCAAUAUGUUUACCUGAGCCGCGAGUAGAUCUCUUGUCCCCGGGAUUUCCUUCCAAGAGAGGUUUUCUGUCCCUGUUAGUCAAGAAAGAAAAUGAACCACGAAUUACAUCACAUAAAUCUUCAAGGAUUAGAUGAGACAAUCAAUAGUGGAAAAUACAUGCACGCAUCUCAGGACCCAGGACGGAGAUAACAGAAACAUGGCGAGACAUGACACGCACCGGAACGUAAGAUUAAUUGCAUACCAUGUCAGU